UGCAAGUCGAACGGAGGCCCUAGCUUGCUAGGUGUCCUUAGUGGCGCACGGGUGAGUAACACGUGGGAACAUACCUUAUAGUACGGAAUAACUGCGGGAAACUGUAGCUAAUACCGUAUACUCCAGUAAUGGGAAGGAUUUAUCGCUAUAAGAUUGGCCCGCGCAAGAUUAGCUUGUUGGUGAGGUAAAAGCUCACCAAGGCUUCGAUCUUUAGCUGGUUUGAGAGGACGAUCAGCCACACUGGGACUGAGACACGGCCCAGACUCCUACGGGAGGCAGCAGUAGGGAAUAUUGGACAAUGGGGGCAACCCUGAUCCAGCAAUGCAGCGUGAGUGACGAAGGCCUUAGGGUUGUAAAACUCUUUCAUCGGUGAGGAUAAUGACAGUAGCCGAAGAAGAAGGACCGGCUAAUUCCGUGCCAGCAGCCGCGGUAAUACGGAAGGUCCUAGCGUUGUUCGGAAUUACUGGGCGUAAAGCGCAUGUAGGCGGAACAGAAAGUUAGAAGUGAAAUCCCUGGGCUCAACCUAGGAAUUGCUUUUAAAACUUCUGUUCUGGAAUUCA
rnacentral:rRNA from 1 species